ACCUACUGUAGCUCAGUUGGUUAGAGCACUGCACCGGAAUCGCAGGGCCGCAGGUUCAAUUCCUGCCAGGGGUC
rnacentral:tRNA from 1 species